GGGAGAAGCUCACUGCUGAUGUUUCGCGUGGGGGGGGGGGGGUUGUUCGUCACGGACUCGCUACGUUUUCCUCGGGGAAGGUCUGACGUCCUCUGAGGGAAAGGCCGCAGCAAGGCCUUGCUCGCCUGCGUGGGUGCGUGAGCCACCAGCGAGGGAGUGCGCCGCGAAGGGCAGGAGAAGCGGGGCGCACAGAGCAGCGUCCCUUCGGCUUCCCCCCGCCCACCCGGCAGCAUGCUCGUGGCCCCGCGGAACGACAGACUCACGGCCGGCACGGCCCCGUAACCCAGUUCAGAUUACUCUCUCCC
rnacentral:RNase_P_RNA from 1 species